AUGAACGCUGGCGGCGUGCCUAAUACAUGCAAGUCGAGCGAACAGACGAGGAGCUUGCUCCUCUGACGUUAGCGGCGGACGGGUGAGUAACACGUAGAUAACCUACCUAUAAGACUGGGAUAACUUCGGGAAACCGGAGCUAAUACCGGAUAAUAUAUUGAACCGCAUGGUUCAAUAGUGAAAGACGGUUUUGCUGUCACUUAUAGAUGGAUCCGCGCCGCAUUAGCUAGUUGGUAAGGUAACGGCUUACCAAGGCAACGAUGCGUAGCCGACCUGAGAGGGUGAUCGGCCACACUGGAACUGAGACACGGUCCAGACUCCUACGGGAGGCAGCAGUAGGGAAUCUUCCGCAAAGGGCGAAAGCCUGACGGAGCAACGCCGCGUGAGUGAUGAAGGUCUUCGGAUCGUAAAACUCUGUUAUUAGGGAAGAACAAAUGUGUAAGUAACUAUGCACGUCUUGACGGUACCUAAUCAGAAAGCCACGGCUAACUACGUG
rnacentral:rRNA from 1 species